UACGUAGGUGGCAAGCGUUGUCCGGAAUUACUGGGCGUAAAGCGUGCGCAGGCGGUUCGUUGUGUCGGCGGGGAAAGCCCCGGGCUUAACCUGGGAAUGGCCGUUGAAACUGGCGAACUGGAGUGUGGCAGAGGGGGGUGGAAUUCCGCGUGUAGCAGUGAAAUGCGUAGAGAUGCGGAGGAACACCGAUGGCGAAGGCAGCCCCCUGGGCUAACACUGACGCUCAGGCACGAAAGCGUGGGGAGCAAACAGG
rnacentral:rRNA from 1 species